rnacentral:rRNA from 1 species
AGAGCGAACGCUGGCGGCAGGCCUAACACAUGCAAGUCGAGCGGCCGUAGCAAUACGGCAGCGGCAGACGGGAGAGUAACACGUGGGAACGUACCCUUUGGUUCGGAACAACACAGGGAAACUUGUGCUAAUACCGGAUAAGCCCUUACGGGGAAAGAUUUAUCGCCAAGGGAUCGGCCCGCGUCUGAUUAGCUAGUUGGUGGGGUAACGGCCCACCAAGGCGACGAUCAGUAGCUGGUCUGAGAGGAUGAUCAGCCUCACUGGGACUGAGACACGGCCCAGACUCCUACGGGAGGCAGCAGUGGGGAAUAUUGGACAAUGGGCGCAAGCCUGAUCCAGCCAUGCCGCGUGGAUGAUGAAGGCCCUAGGGUUGUAAAGUCCUUUCGGCGGGGAAGAUAAUGACGGUACCCGCAGAAGAAGCCCCGGCUAACUUCGCGCCAGCAGCCGC